UAUUUAAAUAGCUUAUAAUUAGAGCAUGAUAUUGAAGAUAUUAAGGAGAUAAAUAAAUCUUUAGAUAU
rnacentral:tRNA from 1 species